UAAGCCCUGUCUUUGAGUCUUAGAUGAGU
rnacentral:piRNA from 1 species